rnacentral:rRNA from 8 species
UUUCCAGAGAUGGAUUGGUGCCUUCGGGAACUGUGAGACAGGUGCUGCAUGGCUGUCGUCAGCUCGUGUUGUGAAAUGUUGGGUUAAGUCCCGCAACGAGCGCAACCCUUAUCCUUUGUUGCCAGCGGUUAGGCCGGGAACUCAAAGGAGACUGCCAGUGAUAAACUGGAGGAAGGUGGGGAUGACGUCAAGUCAUCAUGGCCCUUACGACCAGGGCUACACACGUGCUACAAUGGCGCAUACAAAGAGAAGCGACCUCGCGAGAGCAAGCGGACCUCAUAAAGUGCGUCGUAGUCCGGAUUGGAGUCUGCAACUCGACUCCAUGAAGUCGGAAUCGCUAGUAAUCGUGGAUCAGAAUGCCACGGUGAAUACGUUCCCGGGCCUUGUACACACCGCCCGUCACACCAUGGGAGUGGGUUGCAAAAGAAGUAGGUAGCUUAACCUUCGGGAGGGCGCUUACCACUUUGUGAUUCAUGACUGGGGUGAAGUCGUAACAAGGUAACCGUAGGGGAACCUGCGGUUGGAUCACCUCCUUACCUUAAAGAAGC